ACCGUGGAGGCCGGGUGCAGCCCCGUCGGCUCCGCGCUCUCGGCAGAAAAGGCUUUUAUACGCCCCCUGCCCAUCACUUGGAUCUGAUCUGAGUAAGGGGGGGGAUUUUUUUUCUGGAAGUACCCCCCCACCUACGGUGAAGGAUUUGAAGCUGGGCUCCAAUCGAGGAGGAGGCUGCAGGGCCCGCGGGGCGCCCCCCACCCCGCGCACGCCUCCCGGGAGCCCUGGAAGGCGCAGCCCCGGGGGGCCCCCUGCACCCCCGGAGGAGGCAGCGGCGACUCUCAACCCAAGAAUUCACCUAGAGAUUCAGAGUCUACAGUUUGUGUUGGGAUGACACUGCAAGGAUUCACUUAUACUAACGGAACCUUGUCAUGAACGGGAACGCAACACGACUGAGGAGGAGAGAGUGGAAGAGAGGGACUCACUGAAGAGAGCAGCUGCAGAUAAACUUGCCAGUAAUUUCAGCAAAUGAAACAUGGAACGUGUCGAGGCCAGAGGACGGAAAACACUCCGGUUUCGAUAAAAGGAGGUCUGCUCGCCUUGGAAUCCUCCACCCUGCUAGUCAGCAGACGCAAAGAUUUAUCCAGAGAGGGGCUGAUGAAUUGAGAAAACAGAAAUGAGGCCAAUCCCCUGACUCAACGGUGACCCAUGAAUGACACUCAGUAAACAGUGAUCAAAUGGACCAGCCAACACUAUCAUCACCUCUGACUGGGCCUCCAUCUGAAAUUGCAGAAACCCUCUACAGCUGCCGUGACCUCCAGUUCCCAUUUCAGACAGACUGGUAUCCAUGAUGUCACAUGAUAGAAGAUGAUUCCAGAGAAAGACUGGCCAAGAGGCUCCUGGAGGGAGCUAUGGCAGACAAGACUGGGUGUGGUUUUUCUAUAAUUAUUGUACCUGUUUUGUCUGUUCUUUCUUGGCUCUGUUCACAUCCCCAUCCCAGCACCAGUGCAGGAAAACAAAACAUUAUUGCAGAGUUUGAGACAAGAUGGCUGGCUGGUUCCCUCUCUGCUUGUAAUUAAUGCCAAAAAUGUUCAUGACUUGCCUUGGCCACAAAGGUAAUAAUAAAAUCAGGCAGUCUGAUUAUUUGGCUACUAAUUUCCUUCUUCGUUUUUUUUUUUUUCCUCCCCGUUUCCUUAAAUUAAUU